GAUGAACGCUGGCGGAGUGCCUAACACAUGCAAGUCGAGCGGCAGCGCGAGUAGUUUACUACUUGGCGGCGAGCGGCGGACGGCUGAGUAACGCGUGGGAACAUGCCCCAAAGUGAGGAAUAACUGCCCGAAAGGGUAGCUAAUGCCGCAUACGAUCUUCGGAUUAAAGGAUUUAUCCGCUUUGGGAGUGGCCUGCGUACGAUUAGAUAGUUGGUGAGGUAAUGGCUCACCAAGUCUACGAUCGUUAACUGGUUUGAGAGGAUGAUCAGUCAGACUGGAACUGAGACACGGUCCAGACUCCUACGGGAGGCAGCAGUGAGGAAUCUUCCACAAUGGACGAAAGUCUGAUGGAGCAACUCCGCGUGCAGGAUGAAGGCCUUCGGUCGUAACUGCUUUAUGAGUGAAGAAUAUGACGGUAACUCAUGAAUAAGGGUACGGCGUAACUACGUGCCAGCAGCCGCGGUAA
rnacentral:rRNA from 1 species